rnacentral:rRNA from 1 species
AUGCAGAUCUUUGUGAAGACCCUCACCGGCAAGACCAUCACCCUUGAGGUCGAGUCCUCGGACACCAUCGACAACGUCAAGGCUAAGAUCCAGGACAAGGAGGGCAUCCCUCCGGACCAGCAGCGUCUCAUCUUUGCUGGCAAGCAGCUUGAGGAUGGCCGCACCCUCGCUGACUACAACAUCCAGAAGGAGUCCACCCUCCACCUGGUGCUCAGGCUCCGUGGUGGCAUGCAGAUUUUUGUGAAGACCCUCACUGGCAAGACCAUCACCCUGGAGGUUGAGUCCUCGGACACCAUUGACAACGUGAAGGCGAAGAUCCAGGACAAGGAGGGCAUCCCCCCGGACCAGCAGCGUCUCAUCUUCGCUGGUAAGCAGCUUGAGGAUGGCCGCACCCUGGCGGACUAUAACAUCCAGAAGGAGUCCACCCUUCACCUGGUGCUCAGGCUCAGGGGUGGGAUGCAGAUUUUUGUGAAGACCCUCACCGGCAAGACCAUCACCCUUGAGGUCGAGUCCUCGGACACCAUCGACAACGUCAAGGCUAAGAUCCAGGACAAGGAGGGCAUCCCUCCGGACCAGCAGCGUCUCAUCUUUGCUGGCAAGCAGCUUGAGGAUGGCCGCACCCUCGCUGACUACAACAUCCAGAAGGAGUCCACCCUCCACCUGGUGCUCAGGCUCCGUGGUGGCAUGCAGAUUUUUGUGAAGACCCUCACUGGCAAGACCAUCACCCUGGAGGUUGAGUCCUCGGACACCAUUGACAACGUGAAGGCGAAGAUCCAGGACAAGGAGGGCAUCCCCCCGGACCAGCAGCGUCUCAUCUUCGCUGGUAAGCAGCUUGAGGAUGGCCGCACCCUGGCGGACUAUAACAUCCAGAAGGAGUCCACCCUUCACUUGGUGCUCCGUCUCCGUGGUGGCCAGUAA